UACGUAGGGGGCGAGCGUUGUCCGGAUUUAUUGGGCGUAAAGAGCUCGUAGGCGGUUUGUCGCGUCGGAUGUGAAAACCCGGGGCUCAACCCCGGGCCUGCAUUCGAUACGGGCAGACUAGAGUUCGGUAGGGGAGUCUGGAAUUCCUGGUGUAGCGGUGAAAUGCGCAGAUAUCAGGAGGAACACCGGUGGCGAAGGCGGGACUCUGGGCCGAUACUGACGCUGAGGAGCGAAAGCGUGGGGAGCGAACAGG
rnacentral:rRNA from 1 species